GUGGUCGGCUUGAUUGACGGCUGACGUCGAGGCAUACAGCAGCAGAAGUUGCCAGCUGAGUGGAAAGUGGAAACCCUGAAACUUUGACGUCUCAGCCAUGAUUAUACACAGUUACCACAUCCUUUCUGAACAUCUUUAUUCAAAAAGCUGACAUAAAAUGGUUUGCUAAGCUACUUAUUGAAGCCUACUAACCGACACUUUCAGAAGACUUCGUUCCAGUUUUUUCAGAUUCCCUGUAGGUAAUCCAGACAGGCUGGGUGCUGGAGAGGGCUCUGGACUCCUAACUUCAAUUCUUGUCUGUGCAGUCCAUGAUCUGGAACAUUUUGAAAUCCUACCAGAUGGGGCAGAAGUCAUUGAGCAG